rnacentral:rRNA from 1 species
GACGAACGCUGGCGGCGUGCCUAAUACAUGCAAGUAGGACGCAGUUGCGAACGGGUGAGUAACGCGUAGGUAACUACCUAUUAGAGGGGGAUAACUAUUGGAAACGAUAGCUAAUACCGCAUACUAGUAGAUGGACCUGCGUUGGAUUAGCUAGUAGGUAGGGUAAUGGCCUACCUAGGCAACGAUACAUAGCCGAUCUGAGAAGGUGAGAGGGCACACUGGGACUGAGAAACGGCCCCGAAUCCUGCGGGAGGCAGCAUGAGGGAAUCAUCGGCAAUUGGGGGAACCCUGACCGAGCAACGGCGCGUGAGUGAAGAAGGUUUUCGGAUCGUAAAGCUCUGUUGUUAAGGAAGCGGUACUUAACCAGAAAGUGACGGCUAACUACGUGCCAGCAGCCGCGGUAAUUC